rnacentral:lncRNA from 1 species
AUGCUAGAUGUGCAGUACCUUCAUCUUAAUGCAGCUAUUGAUUCCAGCAUAGGCCUUAACCCAGCCCCUCUUUUUACAGUUACCAGCAACAAUUGGAGGUAAGGAUAUUAGUUUGUUUGGUGAAAUUGGAAUUGAAGUCCAUAUUAGGAAGAAUUGCUCAAAGCUGUGAGGAAUUAAGGAGCAUAUUGAAUAAAGCUUUAAGGUUAUUACCUGAUUUCUAGAGUCU